AAACAGUACGUGAAAUUGUUGAAAGGGAAGCGCUUGUGACCAGACUUGGGCGCGGCGGAUACAUCCGGGGUUCUCUCCGGUGCACUUCGCCGCGUUCAGGCCAGCAUCAGUUCGUCGCGGGGGAAAAAGGCUUCGGGAACGUGGCUCCUCCGGGAGUGUUAUAGCCCGUUGCAUAAUACCCUGCGGUGGACUGAGGACCGCGCAUCUGCAAGGAUGCUGGUCGUAAUGGUCACCAGCGACCCGUCUUGAAACACGGACCAAGA
rnacentral:rRNA from 1 species